ACCAGUCUUCUCUUAGCUGCUUUUGGAACAAGAUGUAGAACUCUCUCAGCUCCUCCAGCCUCACAUCUGCCUGGAUGCUGCCAUGCUUCUACCUUGAUGAUAAUGGGCUGAACCUCAGAACCUGUAAGCCAACCCCAAUUAAAUAGUGUCCUUAGAAGAGUUGCCUCGGUCAAGGUGUCUGUUAGGGUAUGUAGCUCAGGCUGGCCUUCACCCUGGUUUGGUUAGCCUGCCAAAUGCAUGCACCACUGGAUAAAGCCCUCCUUUGAACUGAACUGUAACUCUGAUGCUGAGUGGGGAGGCUAUGGCAGAGAAAGCAAGCCUACUGUGGAUGCCUGAAGCUAACACGGUUUUAAGAUGUAUUCAGUUCGUUGUCAGCCCUAAGAACCCAUGCUCAGUCCCCGUAGUUUGUGCUUCAGACUACGUUGUGUGAAGGCUGUGGAGAUGGCUCCCUGGGGAAGUGCUUGAUGUGGAGGCACAAGAACCUGAAUUUGGAUCCCCAGCAUCUAUACCGAGAGCUGAGCAUCACCACACACUUUUAUAAUCUCAGCGCUGGAGAGGCAAAGACUGGCGGAUCCCCAGAAACCCACGGCUAGCCAGCUGAGCCAAAGUGAUGAUCUCUAUCUAGUUCAGGCUGCAGGUGUCUCUGGCUUGCAGAGCCAUCAAAUCCCCUUGAGCUGGAGACAGAGGCGACGGUGAACUGCCUGAUGUACUUGGAGCUGAACCUGGGUCUUCAGCAAGGUCAGUACACACUCAUAACCACUGAGUCAUCUCUCCAAGACCCGAGAGAAACACACCAAAGACCUUCUGGUGGUGUUCUGGCUGCUUCUUGCCACUUCUGCAGACUCGGGUGGAUUGGUUGAGCCUCUCAGUUUCUUCUGAAUCAAGCUGCUGCUGAUUCCUGUUUGAUGUUUUGGCCUGGACUGCUGACAGCGAAGAUUGGAAUUGCCCCAAAGAAUUAUUUCUAAACAGCUCCACAACCCCUGCUUCCUACUAACCUUUCUUUUCCCUUACCUGUGGGCCUGGGUACCAGAGGUUUUCCAUGAAGAUCUCUGUCCAGUCCUGGUGUGAGGGUUCCAGCAAAGGGAAGCAAGUGCAGGCAGGGAGACAAAGUCUCUGCCAUGCCUUCCAUGUCUCUCUGAACUCUGAGCCACUCUGAGCUGAGUCGGGUCGGGCUGGGCUGACAAGAAGCUGACUAUUCAGUGAGAAGUGCAGCGGGACCUCAGGUGGCUCUUCAGGAGAGAAGAUCUCUUCCCAAGUGUUACACAGAGUUCUUGGUACAAAAGACUCAGAGGAACGAGUAGUUCUCAUGCACCUUUAAUUCCCUGGAUGGAUUUAUAUACAGUUCUGGGGGUGAUUCAUGGUUCAACAGCAGGUACCUCUCGUUGGCUUGGACUGAGAGUUUGGGGGAAACCUUAUUUGCAUGUGGAAAGGCUUGGUGCUGCUCCGAGUGACUGAUAUAGCCACAUACCUCUCCUGUGGGGGCUGUGGGGGCAAUAACUUCGACAGGAGCCAGGGGUCCAAGAGACAUGAUCUAAUGCCUUCAGUCCCAUGUAGGUGGAAAUCACCACCCACUGGGUCCCAUCAGGGUUCAAGACCUAUGCUCGAGUGGUGGCUAGGCUGUCUGUGAGCAGCCCAUUUCCCCACAUAUACCUCUGGUGGGUAGAGGGCUAGAAGGGAUGUUGAAACGUUGAAGAGCCAUAAUUAAAGCAGGUUUUGAAAAAUCUAAGCCUUCAACGCUUCCUAAUCCUUCUUAAAGAGUUCCAUCAACUGAGGAUCAAGUAUUCAAAUGUAUAAGCCUGUGGGGCCGUUCUCAUUCAAAUCACCAUACUUGUAAUUUUUUUUGAAAUUUAAUUAAACUUUUUGUUUAUUUUUG
rnacentral:lncRNA from 1 species